UUCUUCUCUUUCUUUCUUUCUUUGGAGCUCUCUGCUCCUCUUCCAAAAAAGUCCCCCUCCACUUCUCUCCUCGAUUUCAUCUACUUAAGGCAUGAUACCGGACAAAGCCCAAGAAUUAAAGUUGUUAUACGGAGCGCGCGCAUCCUAUCCAUCCAAGAAAAUUCCCGAUCGGACCACGGGAAGUUUUGGUUGACUUGAUCGAACGGUUGGGAUUUGCUCAAAACCCAUGAGGUACAAAGCAAAGGAGGUUGGCAUGGAGUGCUUAUUGUGCAUGGUUGAUCAUACUUUUCAAAGGUAUACAAGAGGAAGUGUAUUGCAUUUGAUUCGAAAGGAAUAUUUUUGGAAAGAUGUUUAUUGUAAACUGUAUUAUUAUUUCCAUCAGAUAUUGGUGUUUUGAUAACUUGGGGCCGUCGAGCCAAAAUGUAAUAUUUGAG